rnacentral:lncRNA from 1 species
CCCACUGCACAGCGAUCAGCAGCCAGUUCCUGAGCAGCUGAGGAUCCAAGUGAGCAGGGUCAGCAUGCACGACUACGAGGCUCUCCAUUAUGACAAGGAGCAGCUCAAGGAGGCCUCUGUGCCUCUGGGUACUGUGGUGGUCCCCGGAGACAGUGACCUAGAGCUCUGCCGAGCCCACAUUGAGAGACUCCAGCAGGAGCCCGAUGGGGCUGGAGCCAAGUCCCCCAUGUGCCACCCACUGUCCUCCAAGUGGUGUUUCCUGGACGCCACCACUGCCAGCCGCUUCUACAGGAUCGACAGGGCCCAGGAGCACCUCAACUAUGUGACGGAGAUUGCCCAGGAUGAGAUUUAUAUCCUAGACCCAGAGCUGCUGGGUGCAUCAGCCCGACCUGACCUCCCUACCCCUACCUCCCCGCUCCCUGCCUCCCCCUGCUCCCCUACACCCGGGUCACUGCAGGGGGAUGCCGCACUGCCCCAAGAUCUUUUGUGCAGGUGAAGAGCUGAUUGAAGCUGCCAAGAGGAAUGACUUCUGCAAGCUCCAGGAACUACACCGAGCAGGAGGUGACCUCAUGCACCGCGACCAUCAGAGCCGCACACUCCUGCACCACGCAGUCAGCACUGGCAGUAAGGAAGUGGUCCGCUAUCUGCUCGAUCAUGCACCACCAGAGAUCCUCGAUGCUGUGGAGGAGAAGUGAGUAUCACAGGCCCCUGGGUCACCUGAAAACCACCUUCCUUCAGUCCUAACCAUUUAGUCACCAACAGCCCUUUCUGGCCAGCAUUGGCCAGCAUGGAGUACCCUUCCCCCUCUUGCCAAACUCCUGCCCUCUCUAAUGGCUGUUGGGAGACUACUGCUGGGCAGGCCUAGAGGACUGGAAGUGUCUACAACCAGCCCCUGUUCCCCAGCGGGGAGACCUGUCUACACCAGGCAGCCGCCCUAGGUCAGCGCACCAUCUGCCACUACAUUGUGGAAGCCGGGGCCUCCCUCAUGAAGACAGAUCAGCAGGUGAGUUGCUUGGCACAGCACAAACCCACCCUUCCCCAGACUUGGGGGCUGGGCCAGGAAAUUUUUAUGCUCUUCUGAGCCAACAAAGUCCAGGCCCAGAGAAACCUGAGCUGGCAGAGGAAACCCUGUGACCUCUGAGGAUACCCUCCCCCUCCUGCUGGGUAGAAGAGCCUCUACCCUCUCCUAAGGCCUUGGGGGCCCUUCUACCCUUCUCCAGGGCGACACUCCCAGGCAGCGAGCUGAGAAGGCUCAAGACACAGAGCUAGCUGCAUACCUGGAGAACAGACAACAUUACCAGAUGAUCCAACGUGAGGACCAGGAGACAGCUGUGUAGUUAAGGGGACCAUGGAUCAACGAGGGACACUACCAGAGGACUAGAGCUCUCCUUGCCCAUCUCACUGCCACAUUCCUG